rnacentral:tRNA from 1 species
GGGCGAUUAGCACAGUGGUAGCGCGCUUCCUUCACACGGAAGAUGUCAACAGGUUCAAAUCCUGUAUCGCCCA